CGGCGCGGCCCGUGAGGGCGGCGGGGGCUCGGUCGGGCCGGGCUCGGGACACUGGGAGCACCGGAGGUCCUUCCCGAGCGGCGGCGGAGCCGGGACACCGCCUCCCUGAGCCGCUCCCCUCGCACAGCCCCAGUUACCGAGACACCCAACAAUGGCUCCCGGGGAGCAGUGGCACCCACCGAAGCUGGUGACAGCGUAGAGAAGCAGCCCUUGUCCACCAGAUCUUUUUCGAGCUCUGCUGGUGAUGUCAGGAGUCCGUAUGUGGCGACAUCCUCAUCCGUUGUGUAAUUAAAGGUGAU
rnacentral:lncRNA from 1 species